rnacentral:rRNA from 1 species
GAUGAACGCUAGCUACAGGCUUAACACAUGCAAGUCGAGGGGAAACGACAUCGAAAGCUUGCUUUUGAUGGGCGUCGACCGGCGCACGGGUGAGUAACGCGUAUCCAACCUGCCCAUCACUUGGGAAUAACCUUGCGAAAGUAAGACUAAUACCCAAUGACAUCCCACGAAGACAUCUGAAUGGGAUUAAAGAUUUAUCGGUGAUGGAUGGGGAUGCGUCUGAUUAGCUUGUUGGCGGGGUAACGGCCCACCAAGGCAACGAUCAGUAGGGGUUCUGAGAGGAAGGUCCCCCACAUUGGAACUGAGACACGGUCCAAACUCCUACGGGAGGCAGCAGUGAGGAAUAUUGGUCAAUGGGCGAGAGCCUGAACCAGCCAAGUAGCGUGCAGGAUGACGGCCCUAUGGGUUGUAAACUGCUUUUAUAAGGGAAUAAAGUGGGUCUCGUGAGACUUUUUGCAUGCACCUUAUGAAUAAGAACCGGCUAAUUCCGUG